UUUUGUGCUUGAUUUCGUUUUUUUAACUGUAUUAGGUGAAAAUACUGAAAACAAGAAUCUAUCAAUAGAACGAUUUUCACAACUAAGAAAAUUCACUUGUUUCAUUUCUAACAAGUGUCUCAGUCCAGUGUACAAAUCCUACCGUUACACCCCCACGUCAGUAGGGGAAGACAGUGCCUCUGCUCUCAGGUGACCGAUUCAAGUCCUGUCCUGACUUCCGUUUACAACACCGGUACACACACCUGGCUAACAGGACAGACAAAAGAUCCGUUCGCUUGGUCCCAAAUUCGAACUGAAAUACUGCCAUUGACUAAAACCUAUGCUGACUACACUUCACCGACGGUGUUAUAACGCAAGGUAGGACGAAGAUACCAAGAAAGACAUUGUCGGCUGUCAACAGUAAAGACUUUCCUCUGCUCAAGACUGCUAGCCCGUAUGCUAACGCGGGAAACAAGUUAGCUGUCCACAGCUAGCUAAGCUGCUAACCCUAGUAUGGAGGAUACAUCAAAGUUGGCCACAGAGACUGAACCUUCCCACGGUGAUGUUUUAACCACCAUAAGGAACCUGGACAACAAGAUGAAUCCAUUCCACAAGCAAGAAAGCAUUUCAGGACAGAGCCCAUGAGGACCUCCAUUACCCGCAUGGCACAGCGGAUGGACACAUUUGAGGAAAAGAUGGAUGAGCUGCUCAUGCUCUUAAGGAGCUCCCAGUCACCUCCCUCUGCUCCAGUCGAUGACGUGUUGCUGUGUUGCUCAACAGUCAUCGAGCUGCAGGAGUUCAACAGGAGUCUCGGUCAACAGGAGAGGAGGAACAAAAUGCAACUUUUUCUGACAACCUUUCAACCAAUGACGUUGUAAAACCGUAUAGCCUGCAGAGCAGAAAGACAAAGGCCUUCCAGGACCUGACAAUCUGCAGGGUUAUAACAGGCAGGUGUUAUUUUAUUGUUCACAUCAGUAUUAUGCGUAGCUUGGCUGAUAAGGGGUUUUAAUUUGACUUGUAACUUUGCUUCUUC